GCAAUUAUGCAUUUUCCAAUAUCUAGGGCACAGCAAUUAAAAAAUGCUGUUCUAGUUAUGCAAAGCUAGAGGCUGCACAAUUCAUGCUGCAGGCUGAUCAUCCCAAAUCCAGAUAUGCAGCCCGUGCAGAGCACAGGACCUAAUGGACCAACCUGAACUUGAACAGCCUAAAGACUAAUUAUUUUCUUCCUUCAUAUUUCCUUUAAGAGUUAAGCCGUUGACUUUUCCUUCCCCUUUUCUUUAGGAUAUAUGUUAUUCUAGUCAAAUUUCUA
rnacentral:misc_RNA from 1 species